GCAGCGGCCGCCGAGCGGCCCUGACACAAGCUCCCACAUCGCCUCACUCCCACAUAGCUCUUAUGAAUCAGCAAUUAGCAGCACCUCUGCCUGUAAUUGGCUCAAAGAGCUUUGCAGGCAUAUAUAAGCUUUGCCCAUAGUAUGGACAAAAGCCCUCAGGUCCAGCUCUCCCUUUCUUCUCUUAUCCUAAAAUGUCACCCAAACUCCUCGUAUGUCACCUCAUCAAGCACAGUGGUUUCACCUGCGCCUUAAUCCUGUACACCUGUUCUUCACAGUAUAUAGCAGCUCCUCACUCUGUGGGGAGCUGCCAGAUUGUUCUAUGCCCCAUCUAGACUUUCCAGUGUUACCUACUCUUGUGCCCGGCCACACCGAUAUCGACACCCUGCCUGGUAUACCAACCUGUGAGUUUGCCAUUUCCCUCUUAUCCAUCUGCUCUUCUAAUACCGACAUCCUGCCUGUUAGACCAACCUGCAAUUCUGCCUUGCCUACCCUGCUGCCUUGCUGGAGAUUACGACCUCGGACCGAACUGACCCUACUCCCUCCCUUGUCCCUUGAGACUGUUAC